rnacentral:rRNA from 1 species
GGUUCGAUUCUGGCUCAGAUUGAACGCUGGCGGGAUGUGCGCCCACAUGCAAGUCGAACGCUGCAGCAGCGCGGACUUCGGUCUGGUGGCGAGUGGCGAACGGGUGAGUAAUGUAUCGGAACGUGCCUAGUAGCGGGGGAUAACGCGCAAGCGUGGCACUAAUACCGCAUACGCCCUUCGGGGAAAGCGGGGACCUUCGGGCCUCGCACUAUUAGAGCGGCCGAUAUCGGAUUAGCUAGUUGGUGGGAGUAACGGCUCACCAAGGCGGCGAUCCGUAGCUGGUUUGAAGGACGACCAGCCACGCAGGACUGAGACACGGCCCAGACUCCUACAGGGAGGCAACAGUGAGGAAUUUUGGACAAUGGGGGAAACCCUGAUCCAGCCAUCCCGCGUGUGCGAUGAAGGCCUUCGGGUUGUAAAGCACUUUUGGCAGGAAAGAAACGGCACGGGAUAAUACCCCGUGCAACUGACAGUACCUGCAGAUCCAGCACCGGCUAACUACGUGCCAGCAGCCGCGGUAAUACGUAGGGUGCAAGCGUUAAUCGGAAUUACUGGGCGUAAAAGCGUGCGCAGGCGGUUCCGGAAGAAGAUGUGAAUCCCAGAGCUUAACUUUUCAGUUUCGCAUUUUUAACUACCGAGCUAGAGUGUGUCAGAGGGAGGUGGAAUUCCGCGUGUAGCAGUGAAAUGCGUAGAUAUGCGGAGGAACACCGAUGGCGAAGGCAGCCUCCUGGGAUAACACUGACGCUCAUGCGAAAGCGUGGGGAGCAAACAGGAUUAGAUACCCUGGUAGUCCACGCCCUAAACGAUGUCAACUAGCUGUUGGGGCCUUCGGGCCUUGGUAGCGCCUUUAACGCGUGAAGUUGACCGCCUGGGAAAUUACGGUCGCAGAUUAAAACUCAAAGGAAUUGACGGGGACCCGCACAAGCGGUGGAUGAUGUGGAUUAAUUCGAUGCAACGCGAAAAACCUUACCUACCCUUGACAUGUCUGGAAUCCCGAAGAGAUUUGGGAGUGCUCGCAAGAGAACCGGAACACAGGUGCUGCAUGGCUGUCGUCAGCUCGUGUCGUGAGAUGUUGGGUUAAGUCCCGCAACGAGCGCAACCCUUGUCAUUAGUUGCUACGAAGAAGAGGCACUCUAAUGAGACUGCCGGUGACAAACCGGAGGAAGGUGGGGAUGACGUCAAGUCCUCAUGGCCCUUAUGGGUAGGGCUUCACACGUCAUACAAUGGUCGGGACAGAGGGUCGCCAACCCGCGAGGGGAAUAAUCAGAAACCCGAUCGUAGUCCGGAUCGCAGUCUGCAACUCGACCGUGAAGUCGGAAUCGCUAGUAAUCGCGGAUCAGCAUGUCGCGGUGAAUACGUUCCCGGGUCUUGUACACACCGCCCGUCACACCAUGGAGUGGGUUUUACCAGAAGUAGUUAGCCUAACCGUAAGGAGGGCGAUUACCACGGUAGGAUUCAUGACUGGGGUGAAGUCGUAACAAGGUAA